rnacentral:tRNA from 1 species
GGAGAGGUGGGUGAGUGGCUGAAACCACCAGUUUGCUAAACUGGCGUACUCUGUAAGGGGUACCGGGGGUUCGAAUCCCCCCCUCUCCG